CGGAGGAAGUGGGGAUGAACGUCAAAUCAUCAUGCCCCUUAUGGACCUGGGCUACACACGUGCUACGAAUGGCGGUACAAAGGGUCGCGAACCCGCGAGGGGGAGCCAAUCCCAAAAGACCGCUCUCAGUUCGGAUUGCAGGCUGCAACUCGCCUGCAUGAAGCCGGAAUCGCUAGUAAUCGCGGAUCAGCAUGCCGCGGUGAAUACGUUCCCGGGCCUU
rnacentral:rRNA from 1 species